rnacentral:lncRNA from 1 species
AGUAAGAUCUACAAAUAAGUCAACAUGACCAAAAUGGAGUUAUUGCCCUUAAUAGUCAUUUUUUAGCAAUUUUUUGUAUAUUUUUGUUAUCUUUUACAAAAAUCUCCUCUAAAACUACUAGGCAAGUUUCAACCAUCCUUGGCCACAAUCAUCAUUGAGGUAUUUAGUUUGAAAAAUGUGUGCCAUGACCCAGCCAACCAACCAAGAUGGCCGCCAUGGCUAAAAAUAGAACAUAGG